GAUGAACGCUGGCGGCGUGCCUAAUACAUGCAAGUCGAGCGAACGGACGAGAAGCUUGCUUCUCUGAUGUUAGCGGCGGACGGGUGAGUAACACGUGGAUAACCUACCUAUAAGACUGGGAUAACUUCGGGAAACCGGAGCUAAUACCGGAUAAUAUUUUGAACCGCAUGGUUCAAAAGUGAAAGACGGUCUUUCUGUCACUUAUAGAUGGAUCCGCGCUGCAUUAGCUAGUUGGUAAGGUAACGGCUUACCAAGGCAACGAUGCAUAGCCGACCUGAGAGGAUGAUCGGCCACACUGGAACUGAGACACGGUCCAGACUCCUGAGGGAGGCAGCAGUAGGGAAUCUUCCGCAAUGGGCGAAAGCCUGACGGAGCAACGCCGCGUGAGUGAUGAAGGUCUACGGAUCGUAAAACUCUGUUAUUAGGGAAGUACAUAUGUGUAAGUACCUGUGCACAUAUUGACGGUACCUAAUCAGAAAGCCACGGCUAACUACGUG
rnacentral:rRNA from 1 species